AGUCGAGGGGCAUCGGGAGGGAAGCUUGCUUUCCUUGCCGGCGACCGGCGCACGGGUGAGUAACACGUAUGCAACCUGCCCUCUUCAGGGGGACAACCUUCCGAAAGGGAGGCUAAUCCCGCGUAUAUCGGUUUCGGGCAUCCGUUAUCGAGGAAAGAUUCAUCGGAAGAGGAUGGGCAUGCGGCGCAUUAGCUAGACGGCGGGGUAACGGCCCACCGUGGCGACGAUGCGUAGGGGUUCUGAGAGGAAGGUCCCCCACACUGGUACUGAGACACGGACCACACUUAUACGGGAGGCAGCAGUGAGGAAUAUUGGUCAAUGGGAGAGAUCCUGAACCAGCCAAGCCGCGUGAGGGAAGACGGCCCUAUGGGUUGUAAACCUCUUUUGUCGGAGAACAAAACCCGGGACGUGUCCCGGACUGCGUGUAUCCGAAGAAAAAGCAUCGGCUAACUCCGUGCCAGCAGCCGCGGUAAUACGGAGGAUGCGAGCGUUAUCCGGAUUUAUUGGGUUUAAAGGGUGCGUAGGCGGUCCGUUAAGUCAGCGGUAAAAUUGCGGGGCUCAACCCCGUCGAGCCGUUGAAACUGGCAGACUUGAGUUGGCGAGAAGUACGCGGAAUGCGCGGUGUAUCGGUGAAAUGCAUAGAUAUCGCGCAGAACUCCGAUUGCGAAGGCAGCGUACCGGCGCCAGACUGACGCUGAGGCACGAAAGCGUGGGGAUCGAACAGGAUUAGAUACCCUGGUAGUCCACGCAGUAAACGAUGAAUGCUGGUUGUCCGGGUCGAAUGAGACCUGGGCGGCGAAGCGAAAGCGAUAAGCAUUCCACCUGGGGAGUACGCCGGCAACGGUGAAACUCAAAGGAACUGACGGGGGCCCGCACAA
rnacentral:rRNA from 1 species